rnacentral:rRNA from 1 species
GACGAACGCUGGCGGCGUGCUUAACACAUGCAAGUCGAGCGGAAAGGCCCUUCGGGGUACUCGAGCGGCGAACGGGUGAGUAACACGUGAGUAACCUGCCCUAGGCUUUGGGAUAACCCCGGGAAACCGGGGCUAAUACCGGAUAUGACCUGGUGCCGCAUGGUGUUGGGUGGAAAGUUUUUUCGGCCUGGGAUGGGCUCGCGGCCUAUCAGCUUGUUGGUGGGGUGAUGGCCUACCAAGGCGAUGACGGGUAGCCGGCCUGAGAGGGCGACCGGCCACACUGGGACUGAGACACGGCCCAGACUCCUACGGGAGGCAGCAGUGGGGAAUAUUGCACAAUGGGCGGAAGCCUGAUGCAGCGACGCCGUGUGAGGGAUGAAGGCCUUCGGGUUGUAAACCUCUUUCAGCAGGGAUGAAGCGUGAGUGACGGUACCUGCAGAAGAAGCGCCGGCCAACUACGUG